GCGGGAAGAGCUCAAAUUUAUAAUCUGGCACCUUCGGUGUCCGAGUUGUAAUCUCUAGAAGUGUUUUCCGCGUUGGACCGCACACAAGUCUGUUGGAAUACAGCGGCAUAGUGGUGAAACCCCCGUAUAUGGUGCGGACGCCCAGCGCUUUGUGAUACACUUUCAAUGAGUCGAGUUGUUUGGGAAUGCAGCUCAAAUUGGGUGGUAAAUUCCAUCUAAAGCUAAAUAUUGGCGAGAGACCGAUAGCGAACAAGUACCGUGAGGGAAAGAUGAAAAGCACUUUGGAAAGAGAGUUAACAGUACGUGAAAUUGUUGGAAGGGAAACGCUUGAAGUCAGACUUGCUUGCCGGAGCUUGCUUCGGUUUGCAGGCCAGCAUCAGUUUUCCGGGGUGGAUAAUGACGGUUUGAAGGUAGCAGUCUCGGCUGUGUUAUAGCUUUCCGUUGGAUACAUCCUGGGGGACUGAGGAACGCAGCGUGCUUUUUGCGAAAGACUCGUCUUUUUCACGCUUAGGAUGCUGGUGGAAUGGCUUUAAACGACCCGUCUU
rnacentral:rRNA from 1 species